rnacentral:rRNA from 1 species
UUUCGACCUCAGAUCAAGCGAGGAUACCCGCUGAAUUUAAGCAUAUAAAUAAGCGGAGGAAAAGAAACCAAACGGGAUUCCCUUAGUAGCGGCGAGCGAAGGAUCCCGAAUCGAAUUCCCGCGGCC